rnacentral:rRNA from 1 species
AAUCACUUAAAUAAGGGUAGAUGGCGGAUGCCUUGACACUAAACGGCGAAGAAGGACGUGGCGUAGCUGCGAUAAGUCUCGGGGAGGUGCGUAGCAACCUUUGAUCCGGGAAUGUCCGAAUGGGGAAACCUGGUAGAGCAAACCUCUAUCGCUUCAACACGCUAGUUGAAGAGCGCACCCAGGGAACUGAAACAUCUAAGUACCUGGAGGAGUAGAGAAUAAUAAUUUAUUCCCUAAGUAGCGGCGAGCGAAAAGGGAAGAGCCUAAACCUGUUUUUUCUUCCGCAAGGAAGAAGGGGCGGGGGUUGAAAGAUGAGAUAUGUCUUCGAACUUGAAAAGCUUUGAGUUCGAGGGGAAAGUUACAAAAUGAUUUGCUAGCCGAAUCUCCUGGAAAGGAGAACCACAGCGGGUGAUAGUCCCGUAAGCGAAAGUGAAUCAUCUUUCUAAUAUUUUAUUCUUAAGUACCGCGAGGCCAAUAAACCUCGUGGGAAUCCGGGAGUACUGUCUCCUAAGGCUAAAUACGUUUGGUGAUCGAUAGUGAACUAGUACCGUGAGGGAAAGGUGAAAAGCAGCCCGGUUAGGGCGGUGAAAUAGUACCUGAAACCAUCUACUUACAAGGAAGCGGAGCUUGUGCGUAGCACAAGAUCACGAAUGUGCACGAAUGACCUUCGGUCUCACGAAUAAACACGAAUUUAAUUCGUGAAAUUAGUGAGCGAACGAAGAGAGCCAUUCGUGAUAUUGGUGGUCUCGCGCUGCGCGCGAGUGACGCUGUGCCUAUUGAAGAAUGAGCCAACGAGUUUACGUAUGUUGCAAAGUCUAAUCCGCGUUCGCGGAGGAGGCGUAGCGAAAGCGAGUCUUAAUAGGGCGAACUUAAUCAGUAACAUAGCCCCUCUUUCUUAGGGGUUGUGUUACCGGUUAAUAAGCAUCAUGCGUAAGACCCGAAACCAGACGAGCUUGCCCUGGCCAGGAUGAACUCCCGCGAAAGCGGGAGGGAGGUCCGUACCGGUGAGUCGUGCAACGCUCUCGGAUGAGCUGGGGUAAGGAGUGAAAAGCUAAUCGAGUUUGGUAAUUGCUGGUUCUCUCCGAAAUAGUUUUCGGACUAGCCUUAUAUGUUUCCUUUUGGAGGUAGAGCACUGGAAGAUGCGAACAGGGCGCAAGCUCGUCGCAUCUAUCAAACUCCGAAUGCCAGAAGGUAAAAAUAUGGGAGUCAGACUGUGGGGGCUAAGCUCCAUGGUCGCGAGGGGAAGAGCCCAGAUCGCCGUCUAAGGUCCCAAAGUUCGUACUAAGUGUCAAAGGUAGUUUGUGUCCACAAACAGAUAGGAGGUUGGCUUAGAGGUAGCCAUCCUUUAAAGAGUGUGUAACAACUCACUAUUCGAGGGCGCGGGCGCCAAAAAUUUAUCGGGGCUAAAGUACGACACCGAAGACGCGAAUUCUUGUGCGUAGCACAAGACUACGAAUGUGCACGAAUGACCUUCGGUCUCACGAAUAAACACGAAUUUAAUUCGUGAAAUUGGUGAGCGAACGAAGAGAGCUAUUCGUGAUAUUGGUGGUCUCGCGCUGCGCGCGAGAGUGGUAGGAGAGCAUUCUUUGCGCGGCGAAGGCGAGCUCGUGAGGGCCGCUGGAGUGCAAAGAAGAGAGAAUGUUGGCAUGAGUAAUCAACAAAGCGCGUGAAAAACGCGCUCCCCGCAAAUCCAAGGUUUCCUCCGCAACGCAAAUCGACGGAGGGUUAGGCGGCCCUAAGGCGAUGGCGAAAGCCGCAGCCGAAGGAGUGCUGGUUAAUAUUCCAGCCCACCGCUUGGGGGAUACAGAUGAGGUGACGAAGAAAAUAAACUUGAGUGCCUUAAUGGUUUGGCAUUCUUGCGUUAAGAAACGGCAUGCAGGAAAAUCCGCGUGUCUGCCUUCAAUGGCGAUUUUCAGACGAGAGAAGAGGUUUGGUUUUACCGAAUCAAUUCAAGCGAAUAGUCUUCCAAGAAAACCCUCUAAUGUGCACCCAAAUGGUUCCGUACCGUAAACCGCCACAGGUGGAUGAGGCGAGUAGCCUAAGGGGAACGAGUGAUUUCUCGCUAAGGAACUCGGCAAAAAAGCGGCCGUAACUUCGGGAUAAGGCCUGCUCCGCGCAAGCGGAGCCGCAGCUAAAGUUUCUCUGGCGACUGUUUACCAAAAACACAGCUCCCUGCGAACUCGCAAGAGGAUGUAUAGGGGGUGACACCUGACCGAUGCGAGAAGGUUAACGGCGGGGACGUUAUGCAGCAAUGCGUAAGGUUCACUGCCCGAAGCCCUCGUCAAUGUCAGCGGUAACUAUAACCGUUCUAAGGUAGCGCAAUUCCUUUCCGGGUAAGUUCCGGAGCGCACGAAAGGUGUAACGACUGGAGAACUGUCUCAGCGAGAAGCUCGAUGAAAAUGCGAUACCCGUGAAGACGCGGGUUACCGGCAGCAAGACGAAAAGACCCCGGAAGCUUUACUGUAGUUUGGUAUUGUUAUUAACGUUUGGAUGCGUAGCGUAGUGGCGAGCCUUCGAAGCGUGGAUUUCGGUUCACGUGGAGGCGACAAUGAAACAGCCAUCUUUCAAAUGUUAGUAUCUAACCCGCGCGGCAAAAACGCGCAGGGACAGUGCCUGACGGGCAGUUUAAAUGGGGCAUUUUCCUCCUAAAGAGUAACGGAGGAGUCUAUUAAGGUCAGCUUGGCGCGGAUGGAAAUCGCGCCUGACGUGCAAAGGCAUAAGCUGGCUUGACUGCAAGGCUGACAGGCCGCGCAGGUGCGAAAGCAGAGCUUAGCGACCCGACCGUUCAUCAUAGAAUGGCGGGAGACAUCGGAUAAAAGUUACUCCGGGGAUAACAGGCUAGUCUGGUCCGAGAGUCCCUAUCGACGACCAGGUUCGGCACCUCGAUGUCGGCUCACCACAUCCCGGGGCUGGAGAAGGUCCCAAGGGUUUGGCUGUUCGCCAAUUAAAGUGGUACGUGAGCUGGGUUCAGACAUAACGGUGAAGUCUUAAUAUUUGAUUAUUACCGUCGGUCCGGUAAUAAUUUACUUGAGGACCAAGAGACGUUAAGAUAAUACCGUGGGAAGUCGAUCUAAAACUAAUUUGGCUUAUAUUGCUGGAUUUCUUGACGGCGAUGGGAGUUUGAUGCUCCAAAUCAAGAAACGUAAGAAUGGUAAUAAAUCGAGGAAUCGGUUUAUGGCGACUAUUUGUUUUUACCAGGAUUCUCGGCACGAAAAACCGUUGUAUUGGAUUCGUGACGUUCUUGGUAUCGGUUAUAUUUCGCGAAGAAGCGAUAAUAUAACGGAACUGCGAAUUAACGGCUAUAAACAAGUAGAGAGAAUACUUAAAGAUUUAUUGCCUUACGUUAAGUUCAGGAAAAUCCAGACAAAGAUUCUCCUUAAUUCUGCUAAAUUGCUUCAAAAAGGCAAAUUAAGCAGAAAUGAUUUGCUGAAGUUGGUUAAUGGUAUUCUGAAAAUUCAAGCUGAAAACUAUGUAACCAAAAGAAAGAAAUCUAAAGAAGAACUGCUAAAAAUUUUAGGUUUGACCCCGUAACGACUUGUUCCGCUUUUAGCGGACGGAGUUGGGAAACGCGAAGUUAUUGUUUCCCGGCUAAUACGCCGAGACCCCACUCUAAAAUUUUAGAAGGGUUAAGAUAUAGUCUGCGCACAUGGUGACAUGUGAUUACGUGACGAGAGGACCGGGAUGAACGAACCUCUGGUCUACGAGCUGUCCUACCAAGGGCAAUGCUCGGUAGCUAUGUUCGGACGGGAUAAGCGCUGAAAGCAUCUAAGCGCGAAGCCUCUCCCAAGAUUAGGCGUAGAAUUCCUGGAAGACUACCAGGUUGAUAGGCCAUAGGUGUAAGUGCGGCAACGCAUUUAGCCGAGUGGUACUAAUAAAUUCGAUUUUCGAUAAA